rnacentral:rRNA from 1 species
UACGGGGGGGGCAAGCGUUGUUCGGAAUUACUGGGCGUAAAGGGCUCGUAGGCGGCCAACUAAGUCAGACGUGAAAUCCCUCGGCUUAACCGGGGAACUGCGUCUGAUACUGGAUGGCUAGAGAUUGGGAGAGGGAUGCGGAAUUCCAGGUGUAGCGGUGAAAUGCGUAGAUAUCAGGAGGAACACCAAUGGCGAAGGCAGCUCGCUGGGACGUGACUGACGCUGAGACGCGAAAGCGUGGGGAGCAAACAGG